rnacentral:rRNA from 1 species
AGUAAAAGUCGUAACAAGGUCUCCGUUGGUGAACCAGCGGAGGGAUCAUUACAGAGUUGCAAAACUCCCACAAACCAUCGCGAAUCUUACCCGUACGGUUGCCUCGGCGCUGGCGGUCCGGAAAGGCCCUCGGGCCCUCCCGGAUCCUCGGGUCUCCCGCUCGCGGGAGGCUGCCCGCCGGAGUGCCGAAACUAAACUCUUGAUAUUUUAUGUCUCUCUGAGUAAACUUUUAAAUAAGUCAAAACUUUCAACAACGGAUCUCUUGGUUCUGGCAUCGAUGAAGAACGCAGCGAAAUGCGAUAAGUAAUGUGAAUUGCAGAAUUCAGUGAAUCAUCGAAUCUUUGAACGCACAUUGCGCCCCUUGGUAUUCCGAGGGGCAUGCCUGUUCGAGCGUCAUUUCACCACUCAAGCCUGGCUUGGUAUUGGGCGCCGCGGUUUGCCGCGCGCCUCAAAGUCUCCGGCUGAGCCAACUGUCUCUAAGCGUUGUGGUUUAAUCAUCCGCUUGUGAGAUCGAAGGCGACGGCCGUUAAACUUAUUCAAAGGUUGACCUCGGAUCAGGUAGGGAUACCCGCUGAACUUAAGCAUAUCAAUAAGCGGAGGA